rnacentral:rRNA from 1 species
UACGAGUGCCUCAAGCGUUAUCCGGAAUUAUUGGGCGUAAAGGUUGUGUAGGUGGUUGUAUUAGUCUUCUGUUAAAUUCUUCGGCUUAACCGGGGGCAUGCAGGGGAAACGGUACAACUAGAGGAUGCGAGGGGUCUGUGGAACUCAUAGUGUAGCGGUGAAAUGCGUUGAUAUUAUGGGGAACACCAAAAGCGAAGGCAGCAGACUGGAGCACUCCUGACACUGAAUCAAGAAAGCGUGGGUCGCGAAUGGG